UCAGGGGUGGUAUAACGGUAUUACGUCCGGUUUUGGUCCGGCAAAUGAGGGUUCGAUUCCUUCCCCCUGAACCA
rnacentral:tRNA from 2 species